rnacentral:tRNA from 1 species
CGCCAUGACUCAGAUUCAAACCAAGGUUGCUAUGGCCACAACGCAGAGUACUAACCACUAUACAAUCACGGC